UAACACAUGCAAGUCGAUCGGUAACGCGGGGGCAACCCUGGCGACGAGAGGCGGACGGGUGAGGAACGCUUGGGAAUCUGCCCUUCAGCGGGGGACAACCCGGGGAAACUCGGGCUAAUACCGCAUACGCUCCACGGAGGAAAGCCGGGGACCGCAAGGCCUGGCACUGAAGGAUGAGCCCAAGCCGGAUUAGCUAGUUGGUGGGGUAACGGCCCACCAAGGCGACGAUCCGUAGCUGGUCUGAGAGGACGAUCAGCCACACCGGAACUGAGACACGGUCCGGACUCCUACGGGAGGCAGCAGUGGGGAAUAUUGGACAAUGGGGGAAACCCUGAUCCAGCGACGCCGCGUGGGUGAAGAAGGCCUGCGGGUUGUAAAGCCCUUUCGGUAGGGACGAAAGCUCUUGCCUUAACACGGCAGGAGGUUGACUUAACCUACAUAAGAAGCACCGGCUAACUCUGUGCCAGCAGCCGCGGUAAUACAGAGGGUGCGAGCGUUAAUCGGAAUUACUGGGCGUAAAGCGCACGUAGUCGGCUUUGCAAGCCGGUUGUGAAAUCCCCGGGCUCAACCUGGGAACUGCAUCCGGGACUGCAUUGCUAGAGUAUGGGAGAGGGAAGCGGAAUUUCUGGUGUAGCAGUGAAAUGCGUAGAUAUCAGAAGGAACAUCAGUGGCGAAGGCGGCUUCCUGGACCAAUACUGACGAUCAGGUGCGAAAGCGUGGGGAGCAAACAGGAUUAGAUACCCUGGUAGUCCACGCCCUAAACGAUGACAACUGGAUGUCGGGAGGGUUUGCCUUCCGGUGUCGUAGCUAACGCGUUAAGUUGUCCGCCUGGGAAGUACGGCCGCAAGGGUGAAACUCAAAU
rnacentral:rRNA from 1 species